AAAUUACGAGUGACACAGUGACUGAAUUUUUCCAUAAAAGCAUUCAUGGUAAAAAUUCAGCUAACACUCACUUUUUUGCACGUAAUCAUGGUUCUCGCGUACGUAGGUGUUAAUGAAAUAUACAUAGCAAUAAAAACGUCCAAACUUUAUGAAUGCUUACACCAUGAAGUGUGUAACAAAUUGAAAGUUGAAUAUACAAAAGUGAACAGAGUAAGUCUCUUAUACAAAGUCAACAGUAUAAGAAAGGAAAUAGAUAAACUCAAGAAAUACAGCAACAAAGACAAAAUAAAUGCAUACUUAAGCAAUAUCUUUGAAUUACCACAAACCAAAAACUUAUUGAUAAGUAAUGAAGAUGGAGAGGAAGUGGAGAACAAGGAAAUUCGAAAAGAGGAUUCAUCAAAGGAACUGAGAGAAAUGAAGGAAGAUGAGCGUUUGAAAGGAGAAACUCAAAAUUAUAUCGGAGCAGAAUAUUGUGAUUGAACACCUACGGAGAGAGAAUACAGCUCUUAAAGACAAAAAAUUCUACCAUCAAAGAGCACGGCAGGUAUUUUAACCAGUGAAAUGGGCGUAGUUUGUAGAAAUCAUUUAAAUGAAGAACUUAAGAACAGUGCAAAUAUCACAAUACAUAGAGAUGCAACAACGAAGAAAGGGAAGCAGUAUUAUGGACUUCAGUUUAAUACUGGUGACAAAGUUUUGUCUGCAGGUUUGAGAGAGGUCUUUGAUGGAAAGGGGGAGACAUAUGUAGAUAUUACAAAAGAUAUUUUAAUAGAUAUAUCACAGAAAGAGGGUGACAGUGAUACUAUUUUUAACAAUGUCUCUUGUUUUAUGACUGACAGAGGUGCUGCCGAACAAAAAGUAAAUGAUAUUUUAAGUAAAGAUAUACAUCAUAAUGUUCAUUCUUUUAAAUGUUCUAUUCACCCCCUCCUGCAAUUUUCGGAUGUAUGUAUAGAAGAAAUUUUUAAUAUUGAACGAGUUGUCUUUAAGAUUCCCUGGGAAUGCCCUGUAUAUAGAGCCUUUUACUUUGUGUCUUUUAAAAUCUGUUUCAAAAUUAUUUUACAAAGAUGGGACAGGUGAUCCCAAUGUUUUAUAAGUUUAUAUGAAAAAUCAUAGAGUUCCAGACAUUCCCAUUGUAAAUUUUAGAGGGAAUCGUUUCAAUGUUAUGUUUUAUAAUGCUGCAGGUACUUUUUUUAUGCACAAACUUGUAUUACAGUAUUUUUAUUCUUUGAAAA